rnacentral:rRNA from 1 species
GGGUUGUGAGGUUAAGCGACUAAGCGUACACGGUGGAUGCCCUGGCAGUCAGAGGCGAUGAAGGACGUGCUAAUCUGCGAUAAGCGUCGGUAAGGUGAUAUGAACCGUUAUAACCGGCGAUUUCCGAAUGGGGAAACCCAGUGUGAUUCGUCACACUAUCAUUAACUGAAUCCAUAGGUUAAUGAGGCGAACCGGGGGAACUGAAACAUCUAAGUACCCCGAGGAAAAGAAAUCAACCGAGAUUCCCCCAGUAGCGGCGAGCGAACGGGGAGCAGCCCAGAGCCUGAAUCAGUGUGUGUGUUAGUGGAAGCGUCUGGAAAGGCGCGCGAUACAGGGUGACAGCCCCGUACACAAAAAUGCACAUGCUGUGAGCUCGAUGAGUAGGGCGGGACACGUGGUAUCCUGUCUGAAUAUGGGGGGACCAUCCUCCAAGGCUAAAUACUCCUGACUGACCGAUAGUGAACCAGUACCGUGAGGGAAAGGCGAAAAGAACCCCGGCGAGGGGAGUGAAAAAGAACCUGAAACCGUGUACGUACAAGCAGUGGGAGCACAGAGCAAUCUGUGUGACUGCGUACCUUUUGUAUAAUGGGUCAGCGACUUAUAUUCUGUAGCAAGGUUAACCGAAUAGGGGAGCCGAAGGGAAACCGAGUCUUAACUGGGCGUUAAGUUGCAGGGUAUAGACCCGAAACCCGGUGAUCUAGCCAUGGGCAGGUUGAAGGUUGGGUAACACUAACUGGAGGACCGAACCGACUAAUGUUGAAAAAUUAGCGGAUGACUUGUGGCUGGGGGUGAAAGGCCAAUCAAACCGGGAGAUAGCUGGUUCUCCCCGAAAGCUAUUUAGGUAGCGCCUCGUGAAUUCAUCUCCGGGGGUAGAGCACUGUUUCGGCAAGGGGGUCAUCCCGACUUACCAACCCGAUGCAAACUGCGAAUACCGGAGAAUGUUAUCACGGGAGACACACGGCGGGUGCUAACGUCCGUCGUGAAGAGGGAAACAACCCAGACCGCCAGCUAAGGUCCCAAAGUCAUGGUUAAGUGGGAAACGAUGUGGGAAGGCCCAGACAGCCAGGAUGUUGGCUUAGAAGCAGCCAUCAUUUAAAGAAAGCGUAAUAGCUCACUGGUCGAGUCGGCCUGCGCGGAAGAUGUAACGGGGCUAAACCAUGCACCGAAGCUGCGGCAGCGACGCUUAUGCGUUGUUGGGUAGGGGAGCGUUCUGUAAGCCUGCGAAGGUGUGCUGUGAGGCAUGCUGGAGGUAUCAGAAGUGCGAAUGCUGACAUAAGUAACGAUAAAGCGGGUGAAAAGCCCGCUCGCCGGAAGACCAAGGGUUCCUGUCCAACGUUAAUCGGGGCAGGGUGAGUCGACCCCUAAGGCGAGGCCGAAAGGCGUAGUCGAUGGGAAACAGGUUAAUAUUCCUGUACUUGGUGUUACUGCGAAGGGGGGACGGAGAAGGCUAUGUUGGCCGGGCGACGGUUGUCCCGGUUUAAGCGUGUAGGCUGGUUUUCCAGGCAAAUCCGGAAAAUCAAGGCUGAGGCGUGAUGACGAGGCACUACGGUGCUGAAGCAACAAAUGCCCUGCUUCCAGGAAAAGCCUCUAAGCAUCAGGUAACAUCAAAUCGUACCCCAAACCGACACAGGUGGUCAGGUAGAGAAUACCAAGGCGCUUGAGAGAACUCGGGUGAAGGAACUAGGCAAAAUGGUGCCGUAACUUCGGGAGAAGGCACGCUGAUAUGUAGGUGAAGUCCCUCGCGGAUGGAGCUGAAAUCAGUCGAAGAUACCAGCUGGCUGCAACUGUUUAUUAAAAACACAGCACUGUGCAAACACGAAAGUGGACGUAUACGGUGUGACGCCUGCCCGGUGCCGGAAGGUUAAUUGAUGGGGUCAGCGCAAGCGAAGCUCUUGAUCGAAGCCCCGGUAAACGGCGGCCGUAACUAUAACGGUCCUAAGGUAGCGAAAUUCCUUGUCGGGUAAGUUCCGACCUGCACGAAUGGCGUAAUGAUGGCCAGGCUGUCUCCACCCGAGACUCAGUGAAAUUGAACUCGCUGUGAAGAUGCAGUGUACCCGCGGCAAGACGGAAAGACCCCGUGAACCUUUACUAUAGCUUGACACUGAACAUUGAGCCUUGAUGUGUAGGAUAGGUGGGAGGCUUUGAAGUGUGGACGCCAGUCUGCAUGGAGCCGACCUUGAAAUACCACCCUUUAAUGUUUGAUGUUCUAACGUUGACCCGUAAUCCGGGUUGCGGACAGUGUCUGGUGGGUAGUUUGACUGGGGCGGUCUCCUCCUAAAGAGUAACGGAGGAGCACGAAGGUUGGCUAAUCCUGGUCGGACAUCAGGAGGUUAGUGCAAUGGCAUAAGCCAGCUUGACUGCGAGCGUGACGGCGCGAGCAGGUGCGAAAGCAGGUCAUAGUGAUCCGGUGGUUCUGAAUGGAAGGGCCAUCGCUCAACGGAUAAAAGGUACUCCGGGGAUAACAGGCUGAUACCGCCCAAGAGUUCAUAUCGACGGCGGUGUUUGGCACCUCGAUGUCGGCUCAUCACAUCCUGGGGCUGAAGUAGGUCCCAAGGGUAUGGCUGUUCGCCAUUUAAAGUGGUACGCGAGCUGGGUUUAGAACGUCGUGAGACAGUUCGGUCCCUAUCUGCCGUGGGCGCUGGAGAAUUGAGGGGGGCUGCUCCUAGUACGAGAGGACCGGAGUGGACGCAUCACUGGUGUUCGGGUUGUCAUGCCAAUGGCACUGCCCGGUAGCUAAAUGCGGAAGAGAUAAGUGCUGAAAGCAUCUAAGCACGAAACUUGCCCCGAGAUGAGUUCUCCCUGACUCCUUGAGAGUCCUGAAGGAACGUUGAAGACGACGACGUUGAUAGGCCGGGUGUGUAAGCGCAGCGAUGCGUUGAGCUAACCGGUACUAAUGAACCGUGAGGCUUAACCUUACAACGCCGAAG